rnacentral:misc_RNA from 1 species
AACAUCGCGCACCUGCGGGAACCUGCGGAAGGAUCAUUAAUGAUUGGUGGCUGUUGCUGACUAGUGUUUCUAGUAUGUGCACGCCACACCUUCAAUCCCACUUACACCUGUGCACCUUCUGUAAUAGAUCUAUGUGGAUACGGAGAUGUGAAAGUUUGCGCUCUCCUACUCUGUUGAAGCAGUCUACUACGUUUUUUUACGCACACACACACAAUAGUCAUUGAAUGUAUUUUUUAUUCU